UUAAUUUGAAAACAAAAUACAAUAAUUUCACUAUGUUUUUUUAGCUUUUAUUCUAGGCUAUUAGAGGACACGUUUUAACUUUUCCUAUUGCAGGUCCUCGAACGAAAACACAUUUCUUAUUCAAUAUGAAGAAAAAGACACGUUCAGUUUCUCUUGUACUUUUCUAUUGCUUCUACCCUGUUCUUUUUUUCUCCUUUACCCAAUCUCCAUUCUUUCCUCUCCGAUUAAUAAAUUAUUGUUCAUAGCUCCUUGAUUUGUCCACUUUUCCGCUUUGUAUUGGAGUUUGUUUGCCUUAAUAAGAGUAAAUUUGCUAACAGAGGCCCCUCAUUCUAUUGCAUGUCACUUCUUCUACCGGUGUCUACCAACCUUUUCAGUUUUGGACAAUUUCAGUUUUGCGUUGGAGGAGUGAUUGAGAUAUAAUUGGGCUCAUUUGCUUAAAGAAUCAUAAAAGUGUAGAUGGUGAAGCAUCACAAUCAUGGUCCAUGAUGAAUCCAGUCCUAAGCCGCAACAACUUAUCUUCAUGUCUCCUUCUGAUACUGUCCUUCUCCUUCCAUUUAUUAGUUUGUGUUAUUCCAAGCUCAACUGUGUUUGAUUUAUUAUCUCAAUAUUGGUAUAAUUAGUGCUCACAUGAGCUUGUGUUAUCUUCUCUGAUGUUUUCAUGUGUUGUUUUUUAUUCAUUUAUGGUUAAACUUUGGUUUUCGGCGUCGUUCCGGGCCUUUUUCGUCUUACCGUUUACGUCAGCAUUUAUCGACACAUGGUGACACAUAUGUGGCAUACUUCCCGAGAAGUCGUCGGAGGAUGACAACCAUGCCAACAAGUGAUCGGUGUGCAAUUUACUCAACUCCCGAGCAAGGGUCUUGGGAUCCUCCGUGAAUCCCUGAACCAUAACCCCUCGGGAGGUUCUGAGAUCAGGUCCAGAUCCAAGAAAAACACUUUCACAUCCAUUCUUGGAGAGCCCGAGAAGCCCAGUAACAGCCUAGCGAGAUUGUUGUAUAAAUUUAAUAUUUGAUUUAAAAUAUGCAAGUGCACGUAAUAUAAUAUAAUAUAAUAUAAUAUAAUAUAAUAAUAAUAAUAAUAAUAAGUAAAUUGUUGUUACAAAAUAGAAAAAUAAGUAAAAUAAUUAUUAAAUAACUUAAAAAUACUAAAAAUCAAAUGAGUUGUUUUUAAGCUAAAGAAAACAUUAAAAAGAUAGAAAUACUAAAAUUAAA